rnacentral:lncRNA from 1 species
GGAUUUCAGAUGGGUUCACUAUUACAUACCUGAUUAUCAUGCACAUCCUGUUUUAAAAGUAUAGAAUGGAUGAAUCCAUAUCUGGGACUCAUCUUUUGUGACCAAUAACUGAAUUCUAAGCAUUGUCUCUCAUGGGGAUCCUCACAGAAUUGUUGCCAUCCCUUUAUGAAGGAGCUGGAACAUAUUUUCACUAACAUCUCACUCUGCUCAUGUUU